rnacentral:rRNA from 1 species
UACAGAGGGCGCGAGCGUUGUCCGGAAUUACUGGGCGUAAAGCGCGUGUAGGCGGCUCUUCAAGUCGAGUGUGAAAGCUCCAGGCUUAACCUGGGAAUUGCGCUCGAUACUGUUGAGCUAGAGUGCAGAAGGGGCAAUCGGAAUUCUUGGUGUAGCGGUGAAAUGCGUAGAUAUCAAGAGGAACACCUGAGGUGAAGACGGGUUGCUGGGCUGACACUGACGCUGAGGCGCGAAAGCCAGGGGAGCAAACGGG